CAGAGUUUGAUCUGGCUCAGGAUGAACGCUAGCUACAGGCUUAACACAUGCAAGUCGAGGGGAAACGACAUCGAAAGCUUGCUUUUGAUGGGCGUCGACCGGCGCACGGGUGAGUAACGCGUAUCCAACCUGCCCACCACUUGGGGAUAACCUUGCGAAAGUAAGACUAAUACCCAAUGACGUCUCUAGAAGACAUCUGAAAGAGAUUAAAGAUUUAUCGGUGAUGGAUGGGGAUGCGUCUGAUUAGCUUGUUGGCGGGGUAACGCCACCAAGGCUACGAUCAGUAGGGGUUCUGAGAGGAAGGUCCCCCANAUUGGAACUGAGACACGGUCCAAACUCCUACGGGAGGCA
rnacentral:rRNA from 1 species